UGAGUAACGCGUGGGUAACCUGCCCUUAAGUCUGGGAUACCAUUUGGAAACAGAUGCUAAUACCGGAUAAAAGCUACUUUCGCAUGAAAGAAGUUUAAAAGGCGGCGUAAGCUGUCGCUAAAGGAUGGACCUGCGAUGCAUUAGCUAGUUGGUAAGGUAACGGCUUACCAAGGCGAUGAUGCAUAGCCGAGUUGAGAGACUGAUCGGCCACAUUGGGACUGAGACACGGCCCAAACUCCUACGGGAGGCAGUAGAC
rnacentral:rRNA from 1 species